rnacentral:rRNA from 1 species
UACGGGGGGGGCAAGCGUUGUUCGGAAUUACUGGGCGUAAAGGGCGCGUAGGCGGUUUGUUAAGUUGGAUGUGAAAACUCUGGGCUUAACCCAGAGCCUGCAUCCAAAACUAGCAAGCUAGAGUUCUGGAGGGGAUAGCGGAAUUCCUGGUGUAGCGGUGAAAUGCGUAGAUAUCAGGAGGAACACCGGUGGCGAAGGCGGUUAUCUGGACAGAAACUGACGCUGAGGCGCGAAAGCUAGGGGAGCAAACAGG